GACGGAGGGUGCAAGCGUUGUUCGGAAUCAUUGGGCGUAAAGCGCGUGCAGGUGGCCUUAGCAAGUCUGGUGUGAAAGCCCGGGGCUCAACCCCGGAAAGGCAUCGGAAACUGCAAGGCUUGAGUCUGGGAGAGGUCAGUGGAAUUCCUGGUGUAGGGGUGAAAUCCGUAGAUAUCAGGAGGAACACCGGCGGCGAAGGCGACUGACUGGACCAGAACUGACGCUGAGACGCGAAAGCGCGGGUAGCAAACAGG
rnacentral:misc_RNA from 1 species